AGUGAACGCUGGCGGUAGGCCUAACACAUGCGAGUCGAACGGCAGCACAGUAAGAGCUUGCUCUUACGGGUGGCGAGUGGCGGACGGGUGAGGAAUACAUCGGAAUCUACUUUUUCGUGGGGGAUAACGUAGGGAAACUUACGCUAAUACCGCAUACGACCUACGGGUGAAAGCAGGGGAUCUUCGGACCUUGCGCGAUUGAAUGAGCCGAUGUCGGAUUAGCUAGUUGGCGGGGUAAAGGCCCACCAAGGCGACGAUCCGUAGCUGGUCUGAGAGGAUGAUCAGCCACACUUGAACUGAGGCACGGUUCAGACUCCUACGGGAGGGAGCAGUGGGGAAUAUUGGACAAUGGGCGCAAGCCUGAUCCAGCCAUUCCGCGUGGGUGAAGAAGGCCUUCGGGUUGGAAAGCCCUUUUGUUGGGGAAGAAAAGCAGCAGGUUAAUACCCCGCUGUUCUGACGGUACCCAAAGAAUAAGCACCGGCUAACUUCGUG
rnacentral:rRNA from 1 species